UACGGGGGGGGCAAGCGUUGUUCGGAAUUACUGGGCGUAAAGGGUCUGUAGGUGGCUUGCUAAGUCAGACGUGAAAUCCCUCGGCUUAACCGGGGAACUGCGUCUGAUACUGGCGAGCUUGAGUGCAGGAGAGGAACGCGGAAUUCCAGGUGUAGCGGUGAAAUGCGUAGAUAUCUGGAGGAACACCGGUGGCGAAGGCGGCGUUCUGGACUGCAACUGACACUGAGGAACGAAAGCCAGGGGAGCAAACGGG
rnacentral:rRNA from 1 species